UUUUAGCAACUCUUUUUGGGAGAAGGCAAGGAGAGAUCUGAGCUCUGCAAUAAGGACCUCAGAAUGUGCUCUGUGCUUUCAAGUGCAAAAUCCAUGAGCAUCCCACAUGGAAGUGGCAGCAAACUCCUUAGUAAUGUUCCUGCUUUGAAGGCAAACCCAGGAGCUGGAUCUUUUCCUGAAGUCAAGAUCCAGUGGAUUUUGACUAAGAUACUGGUGAAAUCAAGUGCUAA